UACGUAGGUCCCGAGCGUUAUCCGGAAUUAUUGGGCGUAAAGGGUGCGCAGGUGGUUAUGUAAGUCUGGUGUGAAAUUUUUGGGCUCAACCCAAAAAGGUCAUUGGAAACUGCAUAACUUGAGAGCAGGAGAGGUAAGUGGAAUUCCUAGUGUAGCGGUGAAAUGCGUAGAGAUUAGGAGGAACACCAGUGGCGAAGGCGGCUUACUGGA
rnacentral:rRNA from 1 species